CCUACGGGUGGCAGCAGUGGGGAAUAUUGCACAAUGGGCGCAAGCCUGAUGCAGCCAUGCCGCGUGUGUGAAGAAGGCCUUCGGGUUGUAAAGCACUUUCAGCGGGGAGGAAGGCGGUGAGGUUAAUAACCUCAUCGAUUGACGUUACCCGCAGAAGAAGCACCGGCUAACUCCGUGCCAGCAGCCGCGGUAAUACGGAGGGUGCAAGCGUUAAUCGGAAUUACUGGGCGUAAAGCGCACGCAGGCGGUCUGUCAAGUCGGAUGUGAAAUCCCCGGGCUCAACCUGGGAACUGCAUUCGAAACUGGCAGGCUAGAGUCUUGUAGAGGGGGGUAGAAUUCCAGGUGUAGCGGUGAAAUGCGUAGAGAUCUGGAGGAAUACCGGUGGCGAAGGCGACCCCCUGGACAAAGACUGACGCUCAGGUGCGAAAGCGUGGGGAGCAAACAGGAUUAGAUACCCCUGUAGUC
rnacentral:rRNA from 1 species